ensembl:lncRNA
CUCCCACUAUCUGUCCAGCAACAAGCAUUUCUCUCCCUCUCUCCAGCAACAAGCCUCUCCCUCUCUGUCUCUCGCCAUCGCCUCUUCCAGCAACAAGCUUCCCUCUCUCCCCUUCCAGCAACAAGCCUCCCUCUCUCCCUCCAUAUAUCCAGCAAUCAGCCUCGCUCCCUCCCGCUCUCUCCAGCAACGAGCCACUCUCUCUCUCCAGCAACAAGCCUAGAUAUCUCUCUCCAGCAACAAGCCUUGCUUUCUCUCUCCAGCAACAAGCGUCCCUCUAUCCUCCUCCAGCAACAAGCCUCCCUAACUCUCCAGCAACAAGCCUCCCUAACUCUCCAGCAACAAGCCUCCCUAACUCUCCAGCAACAAGCCUCCCUAACUCUCCAGCAACAAGCCUCCCUAACUCUCCAGAAACAAGCCUCCCUAACUCUCCAGAAACAAGCCUCCCUAACUCUCCAGAAACAAGCCUCCCUAACUCUCCAGAAACAAGCCUCCCUAACUCUCCAGAAACAUGCCUCCCUAACUCUCCAGAAACAUGCCUCCCUAACUCUCCAGAAACAUGCCUCCCUAACUCUCCAGAAACAUGCCUCCCUAACUCUCCAGAAACAAGCCUCCCUCUCUCCCUCUCUCCAGCAACAAGCUUCUCUCUGUCUCCAGCAACAAGCCUCUCUCUCCAGCAACAAGCCUCCAUCUCUCUCCAGCAACAAGCCUCACUCUCUCGCUCUCCAGCAACAAGCCUCACUCUCUCGCUCUCCAGCAACAAGCCUCACUCUCUCGCUCUCCAGCAACAAGCCUCGCUUUCUCGCUCUCCAGCAACAAGCCUCUCUCGUUCUCUCCAGCAACACGAAUCGCUCUCAACAAGCCCAUCUCUGUCCACACCAAUCUCUCUCCCUCCAUCAACAAGCCCAUCUCUCUCUCUCGCUCUCUCCAGCAACGAGCCUCCCUCUCUCCUUCCAGCAACGAGCCUCCCACGCUCUCCCUCCAGCAAUGAACCUCACUCCCUCCCGCUCUCCAGCAACGAGCCUCGCUCCCUUCCUCUCCCUCCAGCAACGAGCCCCUCUCUCCAGCAACGAGCCUCGCUCUCACGCUCUCCAGCAACGAGCCUCGCUCUCACGCUCUCCAGCAACAAGCCUCGCUCUACAGCAAAGAGCAUAUCUGUCCAGCAACAAGCCUCGCUCUCUCGCUCUCCAGCAACAAGCCUUUGCUCUUUCGCUCUCCAGUAACAAGCCUCGCUCUCUCGCUCUCCAGCAACAAGCCUCCCUCUCUCUCCAGCAACAAGCCUCCCUCUCUCUCUCCAGCACGACACCCAUCACUCUCUCUCCAGCAACAAGCCCAUCACUCUCUCUCCAGCAACGAGCCCUUUCUCCAGCAACCAGCCGCCUCCAUCAACGUCCCUCGCUCUCCAGCAACAAGCCUUGCCCUCCAGCAAAAAGCCUCUCUUCCUCUCUCUCUAGCAACGAGCCUCGCUCUCUCUCUCUCACUCCAGCAACAAGCCUCGCUCUCACUCUCCAGCAACAAGCAGUACUCUCUCCAGCAACACACCUCGCUCUCACUCUCCAUCAAAAGCCCUCGCUCUCUUCCUCUCUCCCUCCAGCAACAAGCCCCUCUCUCCAGCAACGAGCCUCGCUCUCGCUCUCCAGCAAUAAGUCUCGCUAUCUCCAACAACAAGCCUCACUUGUAAUUGAGCAUGUAUAUGUUGUUGCUGUUUGUUCUAGAGCCAAAAAGAUUGGAGAAGUGGUUUACCCAUAUAUCUCCAUUUUGGAUAGAUAAUUCUUUGUGUUGUUGUUUGUUUAGUGUUUUCCAAUUAACCCAGAAGUGGUUAGAGUCUAUGGAUUCUUCAAUUGAGCAUUGAGCCGAUUUCUGACGUGCUGUUCCUUUUUUUUCCUGUCGUGUAUUUCUGGACCGUUUUAGUGAUUCACCAUAGUGAAGGCGUAGACUCUGUUUUUGGUUGGACAGGUUUCUCAAUUUCUUUCUUAGGUUCCCUCUCUCUCUCCAGCAACAAGCCUCGCUCUCUCGCUCUCUCCAGCAACAAGCCUCUCCUCUCUCUCUAGCAAAAAGCCUCACUCUCUCCACCAACUCCGCUCUCUCACUCACUCACUAUCAACUCCUCUCUCCAGCAACAAGCCUCUCUCAGAUCCCAGGAUCUCACACACACACACACACACACACAGGGAGGGGACAUGGAGAGCUCCUUCAGGACCUGGUAGGUCAGGCUGUUUGAUAAAGAAUCCCUUCAUAUAAAAUGCUUCAUAACAACACAUCUCUCUGAAGCUGGCUGUUGCUGAGACAAGUGUGUAUGUGUGUGUGUUUGUGUGUGUAGGGGAAGAUGCAGUAUUGCCAUUAGGGUGGCAUAAACCACCAGAGAGCAGGGCAACCAAGCUCCACUAUCUCCCUCUGUUUGUUCUUAUUUUAUUGACAGUCCUUUCUCUCCCCUCUCUCUCUCUCCGUGGAAAAAGCAGGGGAGCGGAGAGAGGGAGGGUGUGUGCAACAUAAGUGCUGAAUGCCCUAUGCAGUGUUAAUGUCGUUUGUGCAAAUCAAGGCUGCAACAAGGCAGGCGACGACCAACGUGUCCCUGCAGUUCCCCCUGGGAGGCAGAUCCCCUGCCCGCUACCCCUCUGCUGCUCUACUCUUAGGGCCCUAUAAAAUCUGCGAUGCAGAGAAUGCAGACAGAAUCACGGAAUCCAGAUAUUUAAAAGAUUACUGAACUUAGUAGGGAAUCAUCUAAAUUAGUGUUGCACGGUAUACCAAAAUGUCUCCAUACUAGAAAAUGUAACAUUUUGGUACUUCUGUCAAAUGGGUCUCACGGAUCAAGCCUGUCUAUCAGCGCAGCCAACCCCUUGUUAUAGCGUGCACCGUGCCUGGUCCACAUGCUCAUUGCUAGUCUGCACUGGUGGGUGGGCUGCAUCAUGUUAGCUCCCACUCCUGCUACACAGAAGUCAACACACUUUUGAAUGUGACAAGGCAAGUAGAAUUGUUGAAACAAAAUGUCCAGACAGGCUAGAUCACUUUAAAAAUAAAAGAAUAUACCAGUAGCUUCCAGUUUUGUAGGCUAACUUUCCUUUGCUAGCUGACAGCUAAAGCUAACAUCAAUUCACUACCCUAGUACUUUGUGAUAUGCUAACCAUAAUGCAAAUUAGGCUUAUUUCAAAGCUGACUGACACCAGAAACGUUAUUAAUUUACUUAUUCGAUCUCUCAAGUCUCUCCCAAAGAUGAUCCUAUUAUUAUAAACCUCGGUGAACUGACUGCCUCCUGAAAGAUAUCAUUACUGGUUACAGAGACCGCGCACAUUUUUUGAAAAGAAGCAACUUCUAUGCAAAUGUUGUUGAUCAGUACAAUAAAAUAUGUCCCAAAUGGAAGGGGAAAAGAUUGUUUGUCAUCUGUAGCCCCAUGAAAAUCAAUGCAUGCACACACCUAUUGAAUAUGCAUUCACCUGUAUUGUUGAUAGACCUACAUCUUGAUUUACCCAGUUUAUCAAGAAAUUUACCAUUUGAAUAAAUAAAUACCAUUAUGUAGUUAGAUUGGUAAGUCAAAUUGAUUGUAUAACUGAUUCAUUAAUGCAUGCAUGGUUGUUUGAAAAAGGGUGAUGUAAAAAAAAAAAUGUUACGUAAUGAUAUUAAACUCAAAAGAUGCCCGACGAUUGAACAGAGCAGUAUCUGAGUUUCUGUCUGGAUCAAGUGCCAUUCUUUGACUUUGGCUAAUAUGCCUUCUUUUUUUGCCAUGGUAUCGAGUAUUGUGAUGUAUUGAGUAUUGUGAUGUAUCGAGUAUUGUGAUGUGAAACCUGGUAUCAGUAUCGAAGUAAAAAUUCUGGUAUCGUGUCAACACUAAUCUAAAUGUAUUGAACAUUUAUUUACUUGCCCAAGUUUAUCAUAUGACAUGAACAGAAAGCAUCAGUGAUUCAUAAUGCCUGCAACUUUCCGAAGAGGCAACGUGAAUUCCCCUUCUCUGUAUGUGCAGUGCGCAGGUCUACCACUUUGUGUAGCCAUUAGCGAUGAUGUUCAUGAAAAGGCUUUCCCAAAACCCUUCUCAAUUAAAUGUUAACCACAAAGUAGCCUAUGCCUACCUGGCAGAAUGAUAAAGGGCUCUACAGUGCAACCAUUUUACUUGCCUAAGAAUAGAUGUAUGCGAACUGAAAAAGUCAAGUAUGAGCACAUAAAAGUUGUGAUUUAUAGAAGAAAAUCUAUUCUGUUGUAGCUAUUUUCAAAAGUAUUUAGUGUGAACAAAUUGUGCUCCUAAAUGUAAGCGUAGAGACCUGUGAUAUCAUGAUUAUUUUCAUGAAUCCAGUGGGUAUUUGUUUUGCAAACUCUACCAUCACGUGCGCUACAAAAACACUGCUAAACAACAGCCUCUUGCUGGGUGAGAACUGGAAUAAAGCGGUAACUACACCCCAAAACACACAUUUUUAAAAAUCCCAGACCUCAAAAGUGGUCUCCUGAUGUGGUUUAAGCAUUGUUGUGGAAUUACAAGACAACCUUUAUUUGUUUUUCUAUUAACAUUUAGUUAUUUCUAUUUAUUUGUUUUUCUAUUAAAUGUGAUGAAGAACAAACACCUGA